rnacentral:rRNA from 1 species
UACAGAGGGUGCGAGCGUUAAUCGGAAUUACUGGGCGUAAAGUGUGCGCAGGCGGCUGAGCAAGUCGAGUGUGAAAGCCCCGAGCUUAACUUGGGAAUUGCGCUCGAAACUACUUGGCUCGAGUGUGGCAGAGGAAGGUGGAAUUCCACGUGUAGCGGUGAAAUGCGUAGAUAUCGGGAGGAACACCAGUGGCGAAGGCGGUUGCCUGGGGCUUUGCUGACGCUGAUGCGCGAAAGCGUGGGGAGCGAUCCGG